AUUGUUGGUAUGGCCGACUCUGCCUUUGCCUCUGCCCAUCAGGAGGGAUAAGUUGUGGACUUAGCAGCCUUAUUGGAUUUCAUCUGCCUUGGAAUAAGGAGAUUAGAUCUGUUGGCAACAGUGGAGCUGUCUAGAGAUCUUGGCCUCUCCGAUGGUAGAGAAUCUGACAUCAGCCCACUGGCACCAGAGCUGGCUCAAAGAGGGUCCACAGUGUUCCAAGGGGAAGUGGUGUCGCUGGCACCUCUCUGCCCGCCAGCUCUGCGAAGGGCCAAAGGGAUGUGGGCCAUACAUCCUGUGGCCCUCUGCAUUUCCCCCAGCCUCCUCGGGGGAUCGGGUGAGUCAGUGAUUACCAAUGUGCUGUGACCAUCUCACAGGCUGAGGAGGAGAGACUGGGACUUAGUGGCCUUGAGAACAAGAGCCCAACUGUUGGGGAAAAGAGUGGGAGGGGAUCUGCACUCUGGUGGGGGUGUGAAAAUCCCCAGCAAGCUGACACAAGUUAGCUAUAGAAACUGGGGAGAAAGGGAUGGGGUGAGGUGGAUUGGGUGGGAGGCUGCCUUAGGUGGGAGCUGCCAGGCCAUUUUUUGUGAGAGCUCAGAACCAGAAUCCAUCAUGUUCUCAUUGGCCCUUGGUUGACCAUUUCGUUUAGUUAGCAAACUAAUGGCUUAAUAUUCACAAAAUGCACGUGAUGUCCUAGUUAACCAGGACACCAGAGCACCAGGAGAACCCAGGUCAAAUGGGGGACUGGACCACCCACUUGCAUGCCUUCCUUUCUGUAUAAAAUUUUGAUUUGUUUCCUCAUGCCUUUUGUUUUGGUCUUGUUUCUGUGUGCCUGAGCUGCUGCUGAUGAAGGGUUGGAACAGGGCAGGCCAGAGCUAGUUAGUUGUCUCAGGAGACGGGAUUUCACCUCAGUUUUCCAAUACAGGGAAAUCAUCCCUUCUUGGGGAUUUGAGUUCUUCUCUGGGGGCUCUUAAGUGUCCCUGUGUCCACUGUUCUGAAAGGUACCCUUUCUACCAUGCUUUGGGAACAGUACUGACUGAGUCAGGUGUUUGACCCAGGUACAGGCUUAGGGGUAUUUCCUGAACAGUCAGGAGAAGCAUAGUGUAGUAGAAAAAUCAAGGACUCUGGCUUAGCAAGUAUCUUAACUUCUCUGAGCCUAGACUUCUUCCUCAUCUGUAAAAUGGAGGUAAUCCUGUUCUGGUGAGAUUGUGAGAAUUAGGUGAGCCCCUGUAUAUAAGGUGCUUGGCACCCAGUAAGUACUCAAUAUAGAUUAUAGAUUAGCUUCUUUUUUUUUUUUUUUUUUUUUUUUUUGAGAUGGAGUUUGGCUCUGUCAUCCAGGCUGGAGUGCGGCAGCACGAUCUCAGCUCACUGCAAACUCAGCCUCCCGGGUUCAAGCAGUUCUCCUGCUUCAGCCUCCCCAGUAGCUGGGAUUACAGGCGCGUGCCACUAAGCCUGGCUAAUUUUUGUGUUUUUAGUAGAGAUGGGGUUUCGCCAUGUUGGCCAGGCUGGUCUCGAACUCCUGACCUCAGGUGAUCCACCCGCCUUGGCCUCCCAAAGUGCUGGGAUUACAGGCAUGAGCCACUGUGCCUGGCCAGAUUAGCUUAUUUUUGUUGAUGGUGUGAAACAGUCAGAUAAACUGUUCCUUUCUCACCUUUUUCUUUCCUAGAUUGUCAGCUUCAUUAUAAUUGGUUAGGUUUUUUGAAAAAGCUAUUUGGGAGGUUUGUUGAGGUGACAUAGUGGUGUCCUGGUUAAGCUUAUGGACUUUGAAGUCAGAGUGGAUUCAACUGUUUCAUCCAUAGUCUUUGGUUAGAAGAGUGUUUGACCUCAAGCAAGUUACUUAAUCUGAUUCCCAGUCUUCUCUUAUACAUGGGGAUAAUAAUAGCAUUUGCCACAUGAGGUUGUUGUGUGGAUUUAAUGAAAUUGGAAGUCAAAUACUUAGCAGAGUCUGGCAUCUACUAUAUGCUUAGUAAAUGGUAGCUUUUAAGUUUGUACCUCUCAGCAGUGACUCAGAUCUGAGAUCACUUGUGUUCCGAAAAAGGGGUUUUAAAGUUUAGAAAUCUGAUAAAACCAAUUACCCUGUUGUGUAUAUCCAGUCUCGGAAUAUGGCUGCUGCUGUAAGCUGGAGGGCUUCCUUAGCCCCAAGUGUGUCUGUGGAAAACCCCCUGAAGAGUAUCCUCGCUGGGGAAGUUGUAUCAGUGCUGAGUCAAGACCACAGGCUCCCAGCCUUCUGUUCUAGACACAUGAUCUGUCAGCCAAAGUUGAAGAGCUUGAGAUGAGGGCUAUGAGAAGAUUUGAUGAGAACAUUGAUUCCAAGAAUCCUAACCCAGCCCAGUGCCUUAAUUCAGGGCUUCCCUACUAGUGUGCUGCAGAUGGAUCACAGAUGUGCUGGAAUACUGAUCCCCUUAUUCCUAGGGGCAGCUAAAGUUCCCAGUCAGUCCCCUCUGGAUGGGAUCAGCUUCUACCCCAUGUACUGUAGAAACAGUAAUAUUUUCUAGGUGUGCCUCGAUGGGAAAAAGGUUGUGAAGCUGCUGUGUUACACUGCUUCUUGGCAUCCUUCCUUACCCCCUAUCUGAGUAGCACUUCCCAUUCUGUUGGGUAUUGAGAAGUUUGGGGUUGGGGCAAUUAAUGGAGCUCCUCUUUAUGAAUACCAGAAUGAGAGCCAAUCUCUGGUCUGAUACAGUCCCAGUGUGUUUUGGUCCAAACUAGAUUACUACCCAAACUCAGUUGCUCAGAAGCUAGUAUUCUGGCCAGUACUGGACUUUCCAUAGAGAGGGGAGGCAGAGGGCUCUAAGGUCUUUGAAAGGAUAGCUGUCUGUCUUUGUUGUGAUUGUACUCUGAUUUUUCUCUUUGUUGAUUUACUACAGACUUGACAUGGAGUCUAAAAGUUCUGAUGCCAGAAAAAGCCCUGUAUAUCCCUUAGGAGGAGGCUUUCAGGGCAUAAGGGUAGGGUUGUGUGACAGGAGCUAUCCCUGCUGCAGUUUCUCCUCUCACAUUUCCCUGGUGAUGACUGACAACUUGGGGGUUUUUCUGUAAGUGUAGCAUUGAUGUGGGAGCUAAGCUGGCCUGGGUGCUAGUUGUCUAAGAGGCUUUGAGGGGCCUCCUUUGACACAGAAAUGGGCUGGGAAAAACUUGGACUAAAUAUCAGGUUCCAAAUCACCAUGGUGGAAAUUUUUUUCCCAGCCCUCAGGAUUGUGGUGAAUUAGUUCAGGCUAGAAUAGAACUUGGGAGGGGGCAGGGAAAGGGCCUUUCACAGCAGCUGGUCAGAGGAACCUUCUUCUUGUUCAGAGACCCCACAGAGAAGACCCUAGACCACAGAGAGGAGUCUUAUUCCCUUGACCUUCUGAUAUGACCCUGCCUUAGUCUGGGGGAAGCCUGUGUGUGGUGGGGAAGGGACUGAUGGAGUGGACUCUGUCAUUUGGGAAUGUUUUCAUUGCCCAGAGGGAGAUUCAGCGUUUUUUUGUUUUGUUUUGUUUUGUUUUCCUCUUAAAGUAAUACUUAUUCUCUAAAGAAAGUAUGGGACAAUUCAGAAAGAAGAAAAGACUAAAGAUUUAGGUUAAAGAAAAACAUCCAUAUUUUCUCUAGUUUCUUUACCAAAUGCAAAUAUUUUCUUAGUUCCUUUACCAAAUGCAGCUGAUGUGCUUUAAAACCUUUAUAUUUUUUUCUCUGCAUAGAGUUUUAUACAAUGUUUUGAUAUUUGAUUUAUUUAUUUAAGACAGAGUCUCGCUCUGUCACCCAUGGUGGAGUGCAGUGACAUGAUCAUGGCUCACUGCACCUCACUGCAGCUUUGAACUCCCAGGCUUGAGUGAUCCUCCUGCCUCAGCCUCCUGAGUAGCUAGACCACAGGCGUGCGCCACCAUGCCUGGCUAAUUUUUUCAUUUUUUGUAGAGAUGGGGUCUUGCUUUGUUGCCCACAUUGGUUUCAAACUCCUAGGCUCAAGUGAUUCUCCCACCUCAGUCACCCAAAGUAUUGGGAUUUUAGGCAUGAGCCACCAUGCCCUGCCAGUAUAUAUGUUUUUUAUCCAGUUUUUUUGUUUGUUUUUUGCUUUUGUUAUUUCAUUAGUUUUCCCAGGCUAGUAAUUGUAAGUGGUUUGUUUUUGUUUUUGAGACAGUCUUACUCUGUCACCCAGGCUGGAAUGCAGUGGUACAAUCUCUGCUCACUGCAACCUCUGCCUCCUGGGUUCAAGCGAUUCUCCUGCCUCGCCUCCCAAAUAGCUGGGAUGACAGGCGCCUGCCACCACGCCUGGCUAAUUUUUGUGUUUUUAGUAGAGACGGGGUUUCACCAUGUGUUGGCCAGGCUGGUCUCGAACCCCUGGCCUCAAGUGAUCUGCCCACCUCGGCCUCCCAAAGUGCUGGGAUUACAGGCAAGAGCCACCAAGCCUGGCCUGUAAACAUUUAAAUGCUUGUACGAUGGUCCAUCAAGUGAAGGUACCUUUGUUUGCUUACCCAUACACCUUUUCUUAGAUAUUUAGGUUUUUUGCUUCUGUUUGUCAUCAUAAACAAUGCUGUGAUGAACAUCUUGGUGUACAAAGUAUUUUCAAUAUUUAGAGUUUUCCUUGGGAUAGAAACUCAAAAUAGAACUUGCUAGAUUGUAGGAUAUAACUGUUUUUGUUUCCAAAUGGUUUUUAAAAGAGGGAAUAAUGUAUGAGAAGGUUUUUAAAAGGAUGGAAGAGGAUUGAGAAUAGCUUCUUUUCUCCUGAUUAUGAAAAUAAUAAAUAUUUAUUAGGUAAAUUUGGAACUUACUGAAAAGUGUAAAGAAGAUAAUAAAACCUAUAAUCUCACCAUCUACUAUUAACACUUUGAUGUACGUGUAUAUAUAUUUUUUAACAAUUGGGAUCAUACUGUGUAUAUUGUUUUGUAAACUGAUUUGUUCAUUUACUAUUUUAAGCAUUUUCUCAUUUGCUUAUAUAUUAUUCAGUAUCAUUAUUUCUUUUUUUUUUUUUUUUUGAGAUGGAGUCUCACUCUGUUGCCCGGGCUGGAGUGCAAUGGCCCGAUCUCGGCUCACUGCAACCUCCAUCUCCUGGGUUCAAGCAAUUCUCCUGCCUCAGCCUCCCAAGUAGCUGGGAUUACAGACGCCCACCACCACGCCUGGCUAAUUUUUUUGUAUUUUUAGUAGAGAUGGGGUUUCACCAUGUUGGCCAGGCUGGUCUCAAACUUCUGACCUUAGAUCUACCCACCUCGGCCUCCCAAAGUGCUGGGAUUACAGGUGUGAGCCACUGCGCCCGGCCCAGUAUCAUGAUUUCAUUACUGCAUAGUACUCUAUAAUAUUUUAUCACUGCCUUAUGUUGCCUUUUUUUUUUUUUUUUUUUUUGAGGUGGAGUCUUGCUGUGUCGCCCAGGUUGGAGUGCAAUGGUGCGAUCUCGGCUCACUGUAACCUCUGCUUCCUGGGUUCAAGCAAUUCUUCUGCCUCAACCUCCUGAGUAACUGGGAUUACAGGUGCAUGCCACCAUGCCUGGCUAAUUUUUGUAGUUUCAUUAGAGAUGGGUUUUUGCCACGUUGGCCAGGCUGAUCUCAAACUCCUGACCUCACGCGACCCACCUGCCUCGGCCUCCCAAAGUUUUGGGAUUAUAGGCAUGAGCCACUGCGUCCAGCGUAUCUUACCCUUUUAAAAUCUCUUUUUUUUUUUUUUUUUUUGAGACGGAUUCUCACUCUGUCGCCCAGGCUGGAGUGCAGUGGCUCGAUCUCGGCUCACUACAAGCUCUGCCUCCCGGGUUCACACCAUUCUUCUGCCUUAGCUUCCCGAGUAGCUGGGACUACAGGCGCCCGCCACCACGCCUGGCUAAUUUUUUGUGUUUUUAGUAGAGAUGGGGUUUCACCAUGUUAGCCAGGAUGGUCUCAAUCUCCUGACCUCGUGAUCCACCUGCCUCGGCCUCCCAAAGUGCUGGGAUUACAGGCGUGAGCACCACGCCCAGCCUAAAAUCUUUUUUUUGCUGUUACAAAUAACACUGUGUUGAACAUCCUGUGCAUAAAUAUUUGUGUCCAUCUCUGAUUAUUUCCUUAGGAUAAAUUGCUAGAAGUGGAAUUAUUGGGCCAAAGGGUAUAUGGUUUUUAAAGGCGUUUGAGACAUAUAUCUUCUGAAAAAGUUUUAUCAGUUACCUUUUCCACUGAUAGUAUAUGUGUCUACCUUUCUCUGUAAGCUAACCGUUACUGAGUGAAUUAAUGUUUUUAAAGCCUUUGCCAGUUUGAUUAAUUAGACAUGGUAUCUUGUUUUACUUUGCAGUUCUCUGAACAUUUCAUUUUAAGUGUUUUGGCCAUCUUUUAUUUGCGUUCUUUGCUCUCUGUUGGGGAUUUAUUAUAUACAUAUGUCUAUGUAAUAAAUGUAUACAUUUCGUAUAGUUUUUCAUUAUAAAAUAUUUUUCACGUAUAAAAGCAUAUGUAACUGUUAUGUAAGGUUAAAAUAAUAAAAUGGAUGCCAUUGUA
rnacentral:lncRNA from 1 species